UGUGCUUGUGCACGUAUAAGUAUGAUUCCAGGUGUGCAUGUGUGUGUAUGUAAGCGUGUGCAUGUAUAAGUAUGAUUCCAGGUGUGCAUGUGUGUGUGUAUGUAAGCGCGUGUGUGUCUUUGUGCGUGUGCAUGUAUAAGUAUGAUUCCAGGUGUGCAUGUGUGUGUAUGUAAGCGUGUGUGUGUAUAAGUAUGAUUCCAGGUGUGCAUGUGUGUGUAUGUAAGCGUGUGUGUGUAUAAGUAUGAUUCCAGGUGUGCAUGUGUGUGUAUGUAAGCGCGUGUGUGUCUUUGUGCGUGUGCAUGUAUAAGUAUGAUUCCAGGUGUGCAUGUGUGUGUAUGGUUCCAGGUGUGCAUGUGUGUGUAUGUAAGCGUGUGCAUGUAUAAGUAUGAUUCCAGGUGUGCAUGUGUGUGUAUGUAAGCGUGUGCAUGUAUAAGUAUGAUUUCAGGUGUGCAUGUGUGUCUUUGUGCGUGUGCACGUAUAAGUAUGAUUCCAGGUGUGCAUGUAUAAGUAUGAUUUCAGGUGUGCAUGUGUGUGUAUGUAAGCACGUGUGUGUAUGUGCGUGUCCAGGUGUGCAGGUGUGCAUAUGUCUAUAUUUGGAGAGGAUGAUAUCAACUGCAUUUUUCUUAAAGUAUCUACAGCGAAGUGCAUUUGUUCUGAGAAUAUGGGUUUUGUGUUAUCUUCUAUAUGGGAAUGCCAACAUACAAUAUCAAUUGGAACUCAG
rnacentral:lncRNA from 1 species